rnacentral:rRNA from 1 species
UACGAAGGGGGCUAGCGUUGCUCGGAAUCACUGGGCGUAAAGCGCACGUAGGCGGACUCUUAAGUCGGUGGUGAAAUCCUGGAGCUCAACUCCAGAACUGCCUUCGAUACUGAGAGUCUCGAGUCCGGGAGAGGUGAGUGGAACUGCGAGUGUAGAGGUGAAAUUCGUAGAUAUUCGCAAGAACACCAGUGGCGAAGGCGGCUCACUGGCCCGGUACUGACGCUGAGGUGCGAAAGAGUGGGGAGCAAACAGG